AAGGACCAAGAUGAUCUCACACACGCAUCUCCUCUGGCUCCUCGUGCUCGGUGUUCAGGGCUCCAAUGGGGAUGUUGUGCUGACUCAGACUCCAGAGUCCCUGACGGUGUCUCCUCAAGACACCGUCACCAUCACCUGCAAUGCCGGUUCAUACACUAGUAGUAGCAUAGCCUGGUACCAACAGAAAUCAGGGAAAUCUCCUAAGCUUCUCAUCUACAGCACGAGCUCCCAUGCCUCGGGGAUCUCAGACCGCUUCAGCGGUGCUAGGUCGGGCAGUGACUAUACUCUCACCAUCAGCCGGGUUGAAGCAGGUGAUGCUGGAGAUUAUUACUGCCAGUACUAUGGUGGUAGCCCUCUCACAGUGAUACAGACCCGUACAAAAACCUCCCUGCAGGCUCCAUUGGUUCACUUAAGCAGCUGCUUCCUGGGGAGACUCACAGCCUCAGUGCAACCCACUGCUGGACUGAAACUCGAGCUCUACUUCUCUGUCGGCGAGGAGAACUAUGCGACUAACCGCCAGCACUCAUCCGAUAGUCAGGCAGAAGCUUUACUGACUCCAGAAUUAUCCAUUAAACACAAAGCAAUUCAUCAACUGUGGUUGCCUGUAUACAAGUAG